GACGAACGCUGGCGGCGCGCCUAACACAUGCAAGUCGAACGAGCGAGAGAGAGCUUGCUUUCUCGAGCGAGUGGCGAACGGGUGAGUAACGCGUGAGGAACCUGCCUCAAAGAGGGGGACAACAGUUGGAAACGACUGCUAAUACCGCAUAAGCCCACAGGUCGGCAUCGACCAGAGGGAAAAGGAGCAAUCCGCUUUGAGAUGGCCUCGCGUCCGAUUAGCUAGUUGGUGAGGUAACGGCCACCAAGGCAACGAUCGGUAGCCGGACUGAGAGGUUGAACGGCCACAUUGGGACUGAGACACGGCCCAGACUCCUACGGGAGGCAGCAGUGGGGAAUCUUCCGCAAUGGACGAAAGUCUGACGGAGCAACGCCGCGUGAACGAUGACGGCCUCGUGUAGUA
rnacentral:rRNA from 1 species